AUCUCCCUGCCUCCGCUGGCCCCGCCUUACUCUAUUGCACCGCCCAGUCGCCCGGCUUUCCCCUGAGGGACGCCGCCGGCUCUGAACGACCCAGCCUACUCCAGCUGGCCCCACCUCACCGCAUCGGUCCCGCCUCCUCCGCUCGCCCGCUCCGGGAGCGCACUCUUGAGGAGCUCGCCUAGAGCCCUCGCGAUCUCUUUUUACUGCGGGCCCCGUGAGGGAGUCGGCUCGCUGCCCACCCCGCCCGGUCCCACCUCGCCUCGCCCUCCCCGGGUUCUAGCCACCUGGUGCGGCAGGUGUCCUGCAGGUCGGCUCGAGAUUCCCGAGCUCGCCCUCGUGGUGCACCAGGAACACGGUGCUUUGCGCUAGCCCGGCCUGUCCUGAGACACUGCGGGAGGCCAAGAGAACGCGCUGUUGCUGUGUGAGGCGCUGGGGACGGGGCAGCUACACCGCCAAACACUUCGAAAGGAAAUAUUCUUUGGGCAGUGUUUCACAAUCACCUGGGAUGAUCUGAAUGAAGAUUUCUGGCCUCUGCCGAAGACUUACUGAAUCAGAAAGGAGGCAAGAUGAGGAGGAAUGCUUAAGAAUCUGCAUUAACAGACUCUACAACUGAAUCUUACUACAGAAGCAUGGAAACUACUGCCUCAAGGGAUUAUCUUGAGUUUAAACAGAGGAAUUGCUGACUACCUUUAAACAUGUAAAAAUAGUAUCUUUAUGGGAGGGAUGUUGUUUGGGGGCAGCUACUAAAUAGUGAAAUCAUUCUUUUAAAAAUACCCUCUCAAGUCUGCCCCAGUUAUCCAUUAUUCUGGGUAGUCUUGGUAUUCAGAUGAUUUAGGGAAAAAAAUAGUAGUAGCAAACUCUGAAAACACUCAGUAAAGUUCAUCCUUGGUCUUCUCUUCCUAAAUUUGUUUUCAAUUGUUAGAUUUAAACACUAAACGAGACCAAAAGAGAACUUUAUUUUACAUGUCUUUAUUUUACAUUUAGAACCAUUUUAUGAUUUACUUAAAAAAAAAUCUGUUUUUAAUAUUACUAAAAGUAUUUUUUAACCAAAAUCUUGAUUUAGGAAGACUUAAGACAUUGUGCAUUAUUUUAAAUAUUUUCAUUUCAGUAACUAUUAAAAAUAAAUUCACAAUUAGGGUUUCAAAUGUCCUAAUCAUACCUAGUUUGUUCUCAUUUAAUAUUUUAUCAAUCCCAUCAUGUGCAUACAGAGGUUAAGGUGAUAUAUAAGUUUUAUAUCUUUCAAACACAUUGAUGCUAAUCAGCUCUUGAUCUAAUUACUAUUUCAUUUAUUCAGAAAUAGCAUUUAGACAUAAAAACCAAUGUCUCACUUUGUAAAAUAACCUUUGGCUAAUUUACACACAUCUAAUACAGCGUGUUAUAUAAGUUUUAAGUAAUACAAUGAGUCACUACUAUCAUUCAGCUUUAAAUAUUUUUAGUGUUAACAGGGCUGAGAAUAUCAUGUGGUUCAGUCUUCUGAAGGAAGUUAUGUAAUAAAAGCAUAGUGCCUUUGAACAUGAAGACUAUCCUCAAGGCCAGAAGUCCUACAAAGGAACUGAGAGAUUCCAGAGAAUUGCUCUCCUCAUUUUUAAUAUGUAAAGUGACUGUUUUAAGUCACUUCACUGAAGACUUAGUGAAGAAAACAGUGUUAUUAUGCCACUGAAUAAAGCUACUUAAACCAGAGUAAUUUUGGGAUAUUAAUCCUAGGCUAUAUAAUUAAUGGGUCAUCAAAAAAAAAAACCUGUCAGUUAUUAGGUGUAAGUUAACUUCCUAUGCCAAGUAAGGGGUCACACUUCACUUCCCCCAUUUGUAAAAAGAAAAGGUGGCCAGGCCAGUGCCAUUUAGGAUUCUCUGCUAACUGUAAAAUGUGGACUGAUUUUCUUCUGUUUCUUAUAGUCCAGGUGUAUAUAAACUUCCAGUUCUUUAAAUCAAAAUUUUUAUGCACAUAACCAUGUCAGUGUAUUGCCCUUAGUUUAAAAAUGUACAACUACAUAAAUAAAAACUAUUGUUUCUUCAAUAUUA